rnacentral:lncRNA from 1 species
AAGAAGUGCAGCUCAUCAAGAACCUUUUGCACCCCAAUACUGCAGUGAGUAGAUGAAAUACUACUGAUUACAUAUCAGAUUAGGUGCACUGUAUAUAUCUGUCAGCGAUCAAGAUGGGCGCCAAGUCGAGGUUCAAACCAAUGUUCGGCCCAAGAGGUAGUCUCGCGUGCCCGCUCGGCUAGCUGGGCCUGAAUGGGCCUAGACCACUCACAUACAUAUACCCAGGACGACAACGAGGAUAGGUGGCGGCUGGCAAACGACUAGUUUGUAAUCUGGUAGAUGGCGUGAGCCAGUAGUUCUUCCUCCUCUCCCUCUCGAUCCCCUUCCUUGUUAACACAAUUCGGCCAUGGUGAAUGAAAUUCGGGAUUGAUACCUCACAAUCUGGCAUCAGAGCCAUUCCUCCCCACCACCCUGGACCUUCCCGUCCACCGGCGUCACACCAGGCUCGCCGACUGCCGCCGCGCUGAAGCCAUGGAAAAAAUUUCCCCCGAGACCAAGGCGAUCUACAAGCUGCUGAGGGCGGGUUUCGACACCGCCUUCUUCAAGAGCUCGGCGGAGCGCAGCCAGGAGAUGGUCUCGGCCCUCGCCAAGCUCGACAGCAAGCUGGACCAGCUCUCCGGCCGGAUCGAGGACGUCAAGCUCUCCAUCGGAGUCGACCUCGACGAGCUCCGUGGCGAGAUUGGGGUGGACCGCGUCAACGCGCCCUGCCCGACCGCGCCGUCGUCACCACGCGAGCCGCCUGCGUCCACCAAGGGCAUGUCGAUCCACAGUGGAUCAGGAGGAUCUGAAGGAUUCUGCACCGAGAGCGACCUCCGAGCGCCAGCCCAACGAUACGUACAACCACCGGCUCGAGGUAUGCCUUCAGAUCAGAGCACCACCAGACAGAUCAUCCAGGCUCCAGAAAUUUUUCGUCCGCAUCAGGCUGAAAUUAUGGGGUACAACCCUAGAAUUGAACUUCCGCGAUUUGAUGGCUCGAAUCCCAAGCUAUGGCAAACCGAUGCGAGGAUUACUUCAGGUUCUGAAACAGGCCACAACAGCAGUGGAUUUCAUUUGCGUCAGCUUAGUUUGAGGACACUGCAGCGCGCUGGCUCGAAUCAGUUCAGCGUUGUGCCCUGCAAGUCAAGUGGGCUGAAUUUUGUGCCCUGCUGCAAUCCAGGUUUGGCAGGAAUAAACACCAGAAUCUCUUGAGGCAGAUGUUCAAAAUUCAUCAAUCAGGUUCAGUAGAAGAUUAUGUGGAACGUUUCUCUGAACUGUAUGACCAACUCACAGUGUAUGAAGCACAGCCGAACUGAAGGAAAUAUGCCCUAGAGGCAAUAAUAAAGUUAUUAUUUAUUUCCUUAUAUCAUGAUAAAUGUUUAUUAUUCAUGCUAGAAUUGUAUUAACCGGAAACAUAAUACAUGUGUGAAUACAUAGACAAACAUAGUGUCACUAGUAUGCCUCUACUUGACUAGCUCGUGAAUCAAAGAUGGUUAAGUUUCCUAGCCAUGGACAAAAGAGUUGUCAUUUGAUUAACGGGAUCACAUCAUUAGGAGAAUGAUGUGAUUGACAUGACCCAUUCCGUUAGCCUAGCACUUGAUCGUUUAGUAUGUUGCUAUUGCUUUCUUCAUGACUUAUACAUGUUCCUUUAACUAUGAGAUUAUGCAACUCCCGUUUACCGGAGGAACACUUUGGGUGCUACCAAACGUCACAACGUAACUGGGUGAUUAUAAAGGAGUACUACAGGUGUCUCCAAAGGUAGAUGUUGGGUUGGCGUAUUUCGAGAUUAGGUUUUGUCACUCCGAUUGUCGGAGAGGUAUCUCUGGGCCCUCUCGGUAAUGCACAUCACUAUAAGCCUUGCAAGCAAUGUGACUAAUGAGUUAGUUGCGGGAUGAUGCAUUACGUAACGAGUAAAGAGACUUGCCGGUAACGAGAUUGAACUAGGUAUUGGAUACCGACGAUCGAAUCUCGGGCAAGUAACAUACCGAUGACAAAGGGAACAACGUAUGUUGUUAUGCGGUUUGACCGAUAAAGAUCUUCGUAGAAUAUGUGGGAGCCAAUAUGAGCAUCCAGGUUCCGCUAUUGGUUAUUGACCGAGAAUAGUUCUAGGUCAUGUCUACAUUGUUCUCGAACCCGUAGGGUCCGCACACUUAAGGUUUCGAUGACAGUUAUAUUAUGAGUUUAUGAGUUUUGAUGUACCGAAGGAGUUCGGAGUCCCGGAUGAGAUCGGGGACAUGACGAGGAGUCUCGAAAUGGUCGAGACAUAAAGAUCGAUAUAUUGGACGACUAUAUUCGGAGUUCGGAAAGGUUCCGAGUGAUUCGGGUAUUUUUCGGAGUACCGGAGAGUUACGGGAAUUCGUCGGGGAGUAUAUGGGCCUUAUUGGGCCAUACGGGAAUAGAGGAGAGGGGCCGAAAGGAAGGAGGCGCGCAGCCCCCCUCUAGUCCGAAUUGGACAAGGGGUGCGGCCCCCUUUUCCUUCCUCCUCUCCCCCUCUUUCCCCCUUCUCCUACUCCAACAAGGAAGGAGGGAGUUCUACUCCCGGUGGGAGUAGGACUCCCCUUGGCGCGCCCCUACUAGGCCGGCCGCCCCCUCCCCUUGCUCCUUUAUAUACGGGGGCAGGGGGGCACCUCUAGACACAACAACAAUUGAUCCCUUGGAUCUCUUAGCCGUGUGCGGUGCCCCCCUCCACCAUAAUCCACCUCGAUAAUAUUGUAGCGGUGCUUAGGCGAAGCCCUGUGUCGGUAGUACAUCAAGAUCGUCACCACGCCGUUGUGCUGACGAAACUCUCCCUCGACACUCGGCUGGAUCGGAGUUCGAGGGACGUCAUCGAGCUGAAUGUGUGCUAGAACUCGGAGGUGCCGUAGUUUCGGUGCUUGAUCGGUCGGGCCGUGAAGAUGUACGACUACAUCAACCGCGUUGUUCUAACGCUUCCGCUUACGGUCUACGAGGGUACGUGGACGAACACUCUCUCCUCUCGUUGCUAUGCCAUCACCAUGAUCUUGCGUGUGCGUAGGAAAUUUUUUGAAAUUACUACGUUCCCCAACACGAACAUGGUACAUUAUGUGACAAGGUUUAUGGAAGGAUUGUCACCUUCAGUUCGUCUGCUUGUUGGCAUUCAACAACCUGAUGAUCUGGAUUCAGCUUACGCGUUAGCGUUGCUAUCAGAAGAAUUAGGAGACAAUGUUAUGCAGCAACAAUACAGUUCCUCAGGAAGCAGACGACUGCAUGUGUCCACAGUGCCAAAACAGUCUGUCAGCAAAACUGCAGAUGAGAGAAAAACUUCAGAGCAACCGCGUACAGAUGACAGGUGGGCUGCUUUGCGAGCUUACAGGAAGUCCAAGGGCUUGUGUUUCAUAUGUGGAGAACAUUGGGCACGUGAACAUCGAUGUAAACAGGAAGUGCAAUUGCAUGUAGUUCAAGAAAUGCUGGAUUAUGUGCAAAGUAUGCCUGCUGAUUUCAGUGAUACAGAGGAAACUGUUACUGAAGAAGUCAAUGCUAUCUGCAUUUCAGCAGCAGCUAUGAGAGAUGUAACAGCCCAGCUACAACUACUAUGAAACUAAGGUGCAACUGCAAGGCCAUCUUUUGGUUUUUCUUGUGGAUUCUGGAAGUACUCACUCCUUUGUGGAUGGUACAGUAGCUGCCUCUUUUGCAGGAGUUUCCUCAAUACCUGUCAGCAUGGUUAAUGUGGCCAAUGGUAGCUUAGUUCCUUGUACUCAACAGUUGUAGAAAGGACAUUGGACCUGCAAUGGUCAUGAAUUUGUCAAUGAUUUCAGAGUGUUUCCCUUGGGUUCUUAUGACGGGAUCCUUGGUUUGGAUUGGUUGUCUAGCCACAGUCCAAUGCAAGUUGAUUGGGCAGCCCAUUGUCUCUCCUUCCAGGUACAAGACAAUUUGGUUACACUGCUGGGCCAAGAUGCAGUUCCUUAGUUGUUUGCUCUGGUUGAAGUCUCUGCUUUGCUAGCAACUGAAACAACAGGAACCACUAAAUUACCUAUAGAGAUCAAACAACUGUUGGAUCAAUUUGCACCUGUAUUUGCAACUCCAACUGGUCUGCCUCCAAGAAGAAAGUAUGAUCAUACUAUUCCCCUGGUUCCUGGAGCACAACCAGUAGCUGUUAGACCUUAUAGAGUUGCACCCGCACUGAAAGAUGAAAUGGAAAAGCAAGUUCAGGAAAUGCUUGCAGCUGGGAUUAUAAGACACAAUAACAUUGCCUUUUCUUCUAUGAUUAUGGUGCAAAAGAAGGACAAAACAUGGAGACCAGUGUUUGACUACAGAAAGUUGAAUGCUAUUACAAUCAAGAGUAAAUAUCCAAUUCCUAUUAUUGAUGAGUUGUUGGAUGAGUUAGCUGGAUCUUCUUGGUUUACUAAACUGGACCUCAGGUCUAGAUAUCACCAGAUCAGACUAGCACCUGGAGAGGAACAUAAAACUGCAUUUCAAACUCAUUUUGGUCACUUUGAGUUCCUGGUGAUGUCCUUUGGAUUGACUGGUGGCCCUAACACCUUCAAUUUUGCUAUGUCUGUCACCCUGUCUCCCUGCCUCAGAAAAUAUGCCAUCAAUUUCUUUGAUGAUAUUCUUAUAUCCAGUGCUUCCUAUGAAUUGCAUUUGCAACAUCUGGCAGAAGUGUUGAAACUGUUAUUGCAACAUCAGUGGCAUGUGAAUCUCUCUAAAUGCUCCUUUGCUCAAACUCAGAUUGGAUAUUUAGGGCACAUUAUUAGUGCACAAGGGGUAUCUACAGAUCCAACAGAAAUUGUAGCUAUUCAGGAAUGGCCAGUGCAUGUGUCUGCAAAAGAAGUUAGGGGAUUUCUAGGACUUGCUGGGUAUUAUAGGAAGUUUAUCUCUCAAUAUGGGAUGUUGAGCAAGGCUCUUACUAAUCUUCUCAAGAAAGGGGUCCCUUUUCACUGGUUGAACAAUGAACAACAAGCUUUUGAUCUGUUAAAGAAGGCCUUGGUUUCAGCCCCUGUACUAGCACUACCACUACUAGGGAAAACCCUAGUAUUAGCGCGGGUUUUGAGGCUAGCAGCAGCGCGGGUGGCCGCGCUACUAAUAAGGCGCUACAGCUAACUCAUAGUAGUAGCGCGGCCCUUACCUGCGCUACUACUGUUGACGAUAUCAGCAACGCUUUUUAUGAACGCGCUACUAUUACCUAGCUGUAGCGAUUUCGCAGUCCCUCGCUACUGCUAUAUCUUUCAUCAUUUUCCCCGUACCCCUUUUCCCUUUCAGUUUCCCUUUUAGAUACUAGAUACUAGGUAUUGCUGGUAGAUAUCAAAUUCAUAAACCAUUACUGGGUAGUACUCCCUUCAUUCCAAAUUACUCGUCGUGGUUUUAGUUCAAACCACGAUGAGUAAUUUGGAACGAAGGGAGUAUUAGAUAACAAUUUCAUGCAUAGUCAACAUGCAUCCUCAAGCAGUACAAGGUCAUAUCAAUGGUGAUCAUCAUAUGUAGUUCUAGAUGAUAUCGACGACGAUCAUCAUAUGUAGUUCUAGAUGAUAUAGCCACACACACAUAUGUAGUUCUAGAUGAUAUAGCCACACACACAUAUGUAGUUCUAGAUGAUAUCAAAGACAAUCAUCAUCCUCAAGCCUGGGCGGUUGGUGUUCCUGAUAGUAAUUAGGAUGGCCUGUCCAACACGAAGAUUCUUGCCAUCGAGGAAUUUCUUCUACCCAACCGAGUUUAAGUGUGUGCGACUGUCCGUGUCCACGCGGUAAGUACAGGUUGUGACGGAGCCCCUUGCAGUAAGCCGUAGUCUAGCUGAGCCUUCUUCAUCAGGCUCGAUACCAUAACUCACAAAUAUGCUCUUUGCCAAUUUCUGAAUAAGAAAAACAUAUCAAUUAAUAAAUAGCCUCGCAAAUAAGUACAUAUGGAUUAUCUACACUAUUAAUAGUUUCCUUAGAUUCUACACUAAUAAGCAUGUGAUCGAACUCUACACUAAAACAUAUCAUCGACUAGAUUCCACACAACAUACCAUAUCAUUGGACUGUACACUAAGUAAUUCAUCGGAUAAUUUGCAUUUGUAAGUAUAACAUACCAUAUCAUGUCGAUCAACCAUGGUAUUUGUCAAGCGGGUCACGAAUGGCACCCCGACAAAGUCAGCACGUGGAGGAAUUAUGUCCCACAAGUUGGACACCUCCUCCUCACUCAGCCUUGUUCUUUGAGCUAGGAUGGCUUCAUGAAGUGGGUCCUCAUCAUCUUCAUCGAGUGGGUCCUCAUUAUCUUCAUCAUCUUCAUCAUCUUCAUCAUCUUCCACCAGGUUGAGAUAAAUGACAGCCAGCUUGGGUCUUUCUGCUCGGAAGGAGAAGGUGAUCAACUCACCCCCAGUAAGACGCAUGCGAGCGAUGAAACGGGCCCAUCCAUCUCCUCCAAUCUGUGAAAUAUUGUGUCCUUUAUCGACCUCCAUAGUGUACGGCCCCCCAGGAGCCUCAAAUGUCAUAGUGUCUCCUGUCAGCUUGUUGAAUUUCAACCUGACAUUGCAUGGGAUGAUCUGUGUAAAAUAAGCAAAAUGACACAAUGCAGUAAUGCCAACACUAAAAAUAAAAUAGUUAUUACAUUUCAUCUAAUUUCUUACCACCGCAUGAUGAAAACUCGGCUGGAAGUAGAUGCCGAACAGCUUGCCAGUUGCAAGGCUGCUGGCGCAUCUUGACUUGCACAGUCGACAUAGUGGUGGUGGUGGUGGCGCCAUUUUUCCUAAAGCAAUAUGAGUAAAGGAUUAACGAUCCACUUCACAGGAAAGAAAAACAGCAAGGAGGAGGAGGUGACGGCGGCGCAGACGGAGGAGGGGCGACGGGGGUGGACCAGCGCGGGGAAUUGAAAGGGGAUCUAAUGAGUGUGUGACUGUGUGAGUGGAUCAGAUAGAGGAGAUGGGGGUGUGAGAUGAAUGGCUUAGCAGUAGCGCGCUAUAGGGAAAGACGCUACUGCUAAGCUACCUAGCAGCAGCGCCUUUCACAAUAAAGCGCUACUGCUAUGUGUCAGCAUGUAAAAAUAGACUUUGUUCAAUAUAUCAAAAAUACAUUGAUCAUCAACGAUCUUUUUGUGUACAAUCUGAUUUGUCAAUAUGAGUCCUCACCGGUUUAGGAACAGGUGAAGACUCAUAUUGCAGCCACAAAUUCUACACAUAGAGUUCAAUGAAGACCAAGUGCUUGUCAAAGUUUGAGAAGUAACAUAUUUAAGGUGGUAGAAACUCUCUUCACGGAGUGAGGUGGGACUAAAUUUUUGUAGUAAACUUAGCAGUAGCGCUUAUUGGAGAAAUGCGCUGCUACUAUGCUACAUAGCAGUAGCGCCCGUCGUUAUAACGCGUUGCUGCUAUAACUAGCCUCGCGGCGGCCUCGUGGGAAUCAUAGCAGUAGCGCGUCUUUGAGCGGGCGCGCUACUGCUAUAUCUGUUUCAGCAGCGAGUUACUCUUGAGCACGCUACUGCUAAUUAGCAGCAGCGCCUUAUUUUAAAGCGCGCUGCUGAUAAGAUUAUGUGUAUAGGCUUUUCCCUAGUAGUGUACCCAACUUCUCCAAGGUUUUCAUAUUGGAAACUGAUGCUUGUGAUGUGGGUAUAGGAGUUGUCCUUAUGCAGGAAGGAUAUCCAGUUGCUUAUGUCAGUAAAGCUCUUGGCCCCAGGAACCAAACAUUGUCAGUGUAUGAAAAAGAAUACCUAGCUAUAUUAUUAGCAAUGGAACACUGGAGACAAUAUUUGCAGCUUGCUCCUUUUGUCAUCAGAACUGACCAACACAGCUUGGCUUGUCUUUCUGAACAGAGACUGCACACUAAGUGGUAACAGAAAGCACUGACAAAAAUGUUGGGAUUACAGUAUACUAUUGAGUAUAAAAAGGGUGUUGACAAUACUGCAGCAGAUUCUUUGUCUAGGAGACCUCACAAUCCUCAAGAUGUGUUACCUGAACUGCAACAUAUUUCUUCAGUGCAACCUACUUGGCUUGAGGAUAUUAGUCAGAGUUAUGCCGAUGACACCUUUGCUUCUGACUUGCUGAAGAAGUUGUCAGUGGCCCCUGCAUCUGACAACAAAUUUUCCCUGAAAGCUGGAAUCCUUCGACAUGGAAAGUGUGUCUGGAUUGGUAAUGAUCCUGUGUUGCAUAACAAGGUGGUAGCUGCAAUCCAUGACAGUCCAGUGGGAGGGCACUCUGGGUUUCCUGUGACUUACAAGCGUGUGAAGCAACUAUUCAAAUGGAAAGGAAUGCGAGGGUUUAUCAAAACUUAUGUCAAACAAUGCUUGACAUGUCAACAGGCCAAACCUGAGUGUAUUCCUUAUCCAGGUUUGCCAGCCUCUGCCAAUACCAAACCUACCUUGGGAAAUGGUUACAAUUGAUUUUGUGGAAGGACUUCCUACAUCUGGCCGCUACAACUACUUGAUGGUUAUUAUCGACAAGCUCUUCAAAUAUGGCCAUUUUGUUCCUCUGCACCAUCCUUACACAGCUGAAAUAGUUGCUGAAGCAUUUCUGAAUUCAGUGUAUAAGCUCCACGGUAUGCCUCUGUCUAUUGUCUCUGAUCGAGACAAAAUCUUUACUAGCAAAUUUUGGACUAAAUUAUUUCAGAAGUCUGGAGUUAUGUUACGUUUGAGUUCAGCCAGACAUCCACAAUCAGAUGGACAAAUAGAGUGUGUCAAUCAGCAAGUUGAGUGUUUCUUACGUUGUUUUGUUAGUGGUAAUCCCUCACAAUGGGCCAAGUGGAUUCUCUUGUCCAUGUCAUUUUGGUAUUGCAGUUGAUGAUACCAUCCAAUCCCCAGACUUAUAGCAGUGGCUUUCAGAACGUCAAGUGGUCCUGGAUUCAGUCAAACAACACUUGCUUCACUCGCAGCAACACAUGAAAAGUCAAGCUGACAAGCAUCGCACGAAUCGUGAAUUUGCAGUUGGAGAUCGUGUGUUUCUGAAGCUACAGCUGUACCUUCAAGCUUCAGUGGUGCCGCGUGUAAAUUAUAAACUUGCAUUCAAAUUCUAUGGCCCAUUUUGUAUCCUGGAACGUGUGGGAGCUGUGGCGUACAAACUCAAGCUGCCAGCAAGCAGUAAUGUCCGUCCGGUGUUCCACGUAUCACUGCUCAAGAGAGUACUGACGCCGGACUGUGAGGUAUUGUCACAACUACCUUCUCCUGAAGAUCAGUUUUGGUGUCUUGAGCAGAUCAUGCAGCAACGAAUUGUCCGUCGUGGCUCAGACUCAGUCAUCCAAGUGUUGGUCAAGUGGAGUGGUAUGCCGGAGGACAUGGCUACUUGGGAAGAUAAGGUGACGCUGCAACAAAACUUCCCGAGAGCACCGGCUUGGGGGCAAGCCGCUUCUAAGGGAGGACGGAUUUUCAGCGAUCAAGAUGGGCGCCAAGUCGAGGUUCAAACCAAUGUUCGGCCCAAGAGGUACCCUCGCGUGCCUGCUCGGCUAGCUAGGCCUGAAUGGGCCUAGACCACUCACAUACAUACCCAGGACGACAACGAGGAUAGGUGGCGACUGGCAAACGGCUAGUUUGUAAUCUGGUAGAUGGCAUGAGCCCGUAGUUCUUCCUCCUCUCCCUCUCGAUCCCCUUCCUUGUAAACACAAUUCAGCCAUGGUGAAUGAAAUUUGGGAUUGAGACCUCACAAUAUCUUGCUGGAGUUUGUUCCCGACCCAUGGCAUGCUGCCAGCCGGCUCUCACCACUCUGACUUCCGUGCCGCAUCGGCAACUCCUCUACUAUAUCCUCCUCUACUAAUUUUGUAGAUGAAUGGCCUACCAUUUCAAUCUGUGAAAUAUUGCUAAAUUUUGUAAACUGUCAGAACAUGGUACUUAAAACCAAUGAAAUCUUGUUGAAUGUUUCAACCUAUGGGAUGGGGUAGUCAAUUUUUCAUCAUUGAUAUGAUGGCUACGAAAAAAGUCAACAGUUACAUCUGCUUCCUCGGGUUGAUGCUUCAUGCUCAGCCAGUUUCCUUUCCCUUGAGUAGACUUGCCUCGGUCGGUUUGAUCUUGUGCUGACAGACCCGUACACCACAUCUUGUAGAAGGCUGAUAUGGAUUAUGCUCGACCUCUAUGACUUCACUCGAGUUAAUUCCCUGCGAUGCAAUUGACACAAUUAUCCUCGAUACCAACAACGAUCAGCCUGGGAGAUGGGCUUCCUAAUAUUAUUUAUUUUCAUUUUUCUUACGCUUAUGGUACGAUUGCAGUGGUUGGUUGGACUAAGUGAGGAUUUGUUUGCUAUAAGUUAAUUGCAAAUCUUUUUUUGUCAAAUGGAACAUGAUUUUGAUUAAAUCACGGCGAUAUAUUUUCUUGUAGGGAGAGAAGGUGGAUAUAAAGGCAUUGUGGAUACAUAUAAGAAGACCCAACGGAAGAAGCAAAGGGAGGAAUGCCAACAACAAGAGGCUGCAGCUAAAGGUCAAGACUACAGAGUUGAAGAAGAGAUGCAACAAGUGCAAAGCUUGUGACCUUUUUCAAACAAUAGUGGAAUCCUGAUGUUAUCGACUUAAUUUUUCUCUUAAAUCAAGACUUGAUGAUUGUCUUCUUCA